UUGAACGCUGGCGGCAGGCCUAACACAUGCAAGUCGAACGGUAGCAGGGAUCAGCUUGCUGAUUCGCUGACGAGUGGCGGACGGGUGAGUAAUGUCUGGGAAACUGCCUGAUGGAGGGGGAUAACUACUGGAAACGGUAGCUAAUACCGCAUAACGUCGCAAGACCAAAGAGGGGGACCUUCGGGCCUCUUGCCAUCGGAUGUGCCCAGAUGGGAUUAGCUAGUAGGUGGGGUAACGGCUCACCUAGGCGACGAUCCCUAGCUGGUCUGAGAGGAUGACCAGCCACACUGGAACUGAGACACGGUCCAGACUCCUACGGGAGGCAGCAGUGGGGAAUAUUGCACAAUGGGCGCAAGCCUGAUGCAGCCAUGCCGCGUGUAUGAAGAAGGCCUUCGGGUUGUAAAGUACUUUCAGCGGGGAGGAAGGGAGUAAAGUUAAUACCUUUGCUCAUUGACGUUACCCGCAGAAGAAGCACCGGCUAACUCCGUG
rnacentral:rRNA from 1 species